UUNNAUGNNAGCAAGUCUGAUGGAGCACGCCGCGUGAGUGAAGAAGGGUUUCGGCUCGUAAAGCUCUGUUGUUGGUGAAGAAGGACAGGGGUAGUAACUGACCUUUGUUUGACGGUAAUCAAUUAGAAAGUCACGGCUAACUACGUGCCAGCAGCCGCGGUAAUACA
rnacentral:rRNA from 1 species